GGACAGGUGGCCGAGUGGUUUAAGGCGCACGCCUGGAGAGCGUGUGGGCGGCAACCCCGCCUCGUGGGUUCGAAUCCCACCCUGUCCG
rnacentral:tRNA from 1 species